UGGUGGAGUGAUUUGUCUGCUUAAUUGCGAUAACGAACGAGACCUUAACCUACUAAAUAGCCCGGCUAGCUUUUGCUGGUCGCAGGCUUCUUAGAGGGACUGUCGGCUCAAGCCGAUGGAAGUUUGAGGCAAUAACA
rnacentral:rRNA from 1 species